rnacentral:rRNA from 1 species
UUAAAACUAACAAGGUCUCCGUAGGUGAACCUGCGGAGGGAUCAUUACACAAAUAUGAAGGCGGGCUGGAACCUCUCGGGGUUACAGCCUUGCUGAAUUAUUCACCCUUGUCUUUUGCGUACUUCUUGUUUCCUUGGUGGGUUCGCCCACCACUAGGACAAACAUAAACCUUUUGUAAUUGCAAUCAGCGUCAGUAACAAAUUAAUAAUUACAACUUUCAACAACGGAUCUCUUGGUUCUGGCAUCGAUGAAGAACGCAGCGAAAUGCGAUAAGUAGUGUGAAUUGCAGAAUUCAGUGAAUCAUCGAAUCUUUGAACGCACAUUGCGCCCUUUGGUAUUCCAAAGGGCAUGCCUGUUCGAGCGUCAUUUGUACCCUCAAGCUUUGCUUGGUGUUGGGCGUCUUGUCUCUAGCUUUGCUGGAGACUCGCCUUAAAGUAAUUGGCAGCCGGCCUACUGGUUUCGGAGCGCAGCACAAGUCGCACUCUCUAUCAGCAAAGGUCUAGCAUCCACUAAGCCUUUUUUCAACUUUGACCUCGGAUCAGUAGGU